AUGAAAAAAGGAAAAACGGUCAGCUGUUGUCACAGCAAAAUCAUGAGCAGGCCUUUGCCUUAUCAUAUCUACUUCUUUUCGGGACUGUUGACCUGUUGGAUAUCAUGUACAUCUUCGGCCAACAAAUGUACUGUUAGGCAUGAAGCAGCCGAUUGCAGUCAUCUGAAGUUGACUCAAAUACCUGAUGACCUCCCAACAAACAUAACUGUGUUGAAUCUUACCCAUAAUCAACUCAGAAGAUUGCCAGCUGCCAAUUUUACAAGAUACAGCCAACUUACUAUCUUGGAUGGGGGAUUUAACUCCAUCUCAAAGCUGGAGCCAGAACUGUGUCAAAGUCUCCCUUGGUUGGAAAUUUUGAACCUCCAACACAAUGAGAUAUCUCAGCUUUCUGAUAAAACCUUUAUCUUCUGCAUGAAUUUGACUGAACUCCAUCUAAUGUCCAACACAAUCCAAAAAAUUCAAAAUGAUCCGUUUAAAAACCUGAAGAAUUUAAUCAAAUUAGACCUCUCUCACAAUGGCUUAUCAUCUACGAAAUUAGGAACUCAGCUCCAACUGGAGAACCUCCAAGAGCUUCUAUUAUCAAAUAACAAAAUUUCUUCACUAACACCAGAAGCACUUGAUUUCCUUGGCAAUUCUUCUUUAAAAAGAUUAGAGUUGUCAUCAAAUCAAAUCAAAGAGUUCUCUCCUGGGUGUUUUCAUGCCAUUGGAAAAUUAUCUGGCCUCUCUCUGAACAAUGCCAAGCUGAGCCCCAGUCUCACAGAGAAGCUCUGCUUGGAAUUGUCAAAUACAAGCAUUGAGAAUCUGUCCCUGAGCAGCAACCAGCUGGACACAAUCAGCCACACGACCUUCGAUGGACUGAAACAGACGAAUCUCACCACGCUGGACCUUUCCCGUAACUCCUUACGUGUGAUGGGUAAUGACUCCUUUGCCUGGCUUCCACAUCUCGAGUACCUCUCUCUGGAGUAUAACAACAUAGAGCAUUUGUCUUCUCGCUCUUUCUAUGGGCUUUCCAGCUUGAGACACCUGAACUUGAGACGGUCUUUUACUAGACAAAGCAUUUCACUGACUUCGCUCCCCAAGAUUGACGAUUUUUCCUUUCAGUGGCUAAAACGUUUGGAGUACCUCAACAUGGAAGAUAACGACUUUCCAGGCAUAAAAAGAAAUACUUUCACAGGAUUGGUGAGGCUGAAAAUUUUAAAUCUAUCCAACUCCUUCUCAAGUUUGCGGACUUUAACAAAUGAGACAUUUCUAUCACUUGCUAGUUCUCCUCUGCUCCUACUCAACCUAACCAAAAAUAAAAUCUCAAAAAUUCAGAGUGGUGCUUUUUCUUGGUUGGGGCACCUGGAGGUCCUUGACCUCGGCCUUAAUGAAAUUGGGCAAGAACUCACAGGCCAAGAAUGGGGAGGCCUAGACAAUAUUGUCGAAAUCUACCUUUCCUACAACAAAUACCUAGAGCUGACCACCAACUCUUUCACCUCAGUUCCAAGCCUUCAAAGACUGAUGCUUCGAAGGGUGGCCCUGAGAAAUGUGGAUAGCUCCCCUUCACCUUUUCACCCUCUUCCGAACCUGGUCAUUCUGGAUCUAAGCAACAACAACAUAGCCAACAUAAAUGAUGAACUGUUGAAGGGUCUUGAGAAACUGGAAAUUCUGGAUUUGCAGCAUAACAACUUAGCUCGGCUCUGGAAGCAUGCCAACCCUGGCGGCCCUGUUCUGUUUCUGAAGGGCCUUUCUCGCCUCCACAUCCUUAACUUGGAGUCUAAUGGCUUUGAUGAGAUCCCAGUGGAAGCCUUCAAGGACUUACGUGAAUUGAAGAGUAUUGAUUUAGGAAUGAAUAAUUUAAAUAUCCUUCCACUAUCUGUCUUUGAUAAUCAAGUGUCACUAAAGUCAUUAAGCCUUCAGAAGAACCUCAUAACAUCUGUUGAAAAGACUGUUUUUGGGCUAGCAUUCAGGAACCUGAGUUAUUUAGAUAUGCGUUUUAAUCCAUUUGAUUGUACCUGUGAAAGCAUCGCCUGGUUUGUUAAUUGGAUUAAUAGUACCCACACCAACAUCUCUGAGCUGUCGAACCAUUACCGCUGCAACACUCCGCCUCAGUACCAUGGUUCCCCAGUAAUGCUUUUUGAUGUAUCGCCGUGCAAAGACAGCGCCCCAUUUGAACUCCUUUUCAUGAUUAACACCAAUAUCCUUUUGAUUUUUAUCUUUAUUGUACUGCUCAUCCAUUUUGAAGGCUGGAGGAUAUCUUUUUAUUGGAAUGUUUCAGUGCAUCGAGUUCUCGGUUUCAAAGAAAUAGACAAAGCAGAGCAGUUUGAAUAUGCAGCGUAUAUAAUUCAUGCCUAUAAAGAUAGAGAUUGGGUCUGGAAGCACUUCUCCCCAAUGGAGGAAGAAGAUCAUACUCUCAGAUUUUGUCUGGAAGAAAGGGACUUUGAGGCAGGUGUCCUUGAACUUGAAGCAAUUGUGAACAGCAUCAGAAGGAGCAGAAAAAUUAUUUUCGUUGUAACACAGAAUCUAUUGAAAGAUCCAUUAUGCAAAAGAAGAGGACUGUCAGAAGGAUCUGGAAAGCAGAGUUUUGCUGUGAAAAGCAAAGAUCCUUUACCUACCCAUUUUACAAAAAAUGUACAGAAAGCCAUUGCUAAAUACAGCCGGGAAUCUGCGUCAUCAUUUUCAUCAAGUGGGAGCCCCACGCCUACAGAAGCCCCCAACUCCUGGUCUGGGUCUGGGACACAGAGUUCAACAACUGGUUUAUCUACGGAGAGGAGCUCCAUUUACUCCUGGAGAGAUGAUGAGUUUGACAAAGCCAGUGCACAGAAGGUGCAGCAGUUAUUCUGGGAGGUCGAGGAAAUGUUGUUCGAAGGGAAAGGAAGCCCUCAGACCCAGAAUCUCCAGGCUGAGUGCCGUGAAUGGGCAAGCCGGUCCCUGCAUCUGAGAGUAUUAGGAAGACAGCUCAUCCCGCCCGCUGAUGAAGGAGUUGAGCAUUUCCAGAGCAGCCGGCCUGCUUCUGCCAUCCACGGACCCUUCCUUGAUGACUGUGGACACAGCAGCAACAUCAGAGAGCUGUGCAUCUCUGGGUCUCAGAUAGUCCCGGCCGUGCUCUCAGCCCCCUCCCUGCCGGGUCCUGAUGGUACCAGGGUUGUGGACCUCAUGGCACAUUCAUCUCUGGAAGAAGAGGUUUUUGAUGUGGAUGGAAAGAUUGAAGAGUAUUUUGCUUUUGACCGAAAACAAGAUGGCGAGGACUGUCUUGAACAAAAGCCAGCUCGUCAUCGCAGGACGUGGCGUAGGCACGGACUUCCUCCUGUAUCGCCGCACGACUGUAUCAGAGACACGGUGGCUGCGGAAGUGUUUGAUCACGUCUGGACGAAUGUGGUGGAGGUGCUGGAAAAGCUGACCAGAAAAAACUGGGAACUUAGAGAAGGAAGAAAACAGAAAGAAAAAUUGAAAGUAGCUGAGAAUAAAUCUCCACCCACAGUUAUUUCCCGCAUUAAUGCUGAUGUAUCCAGUGUUCCGCCAUCCAGAAGCUCUGAAACUCGAAGUGUAUCCCUGGCUUCUCAUCUUAACCCACCGCAGAUACAUCGCUUCUCCAACAAUUUUUAUAGUGACUUGAAUGGUGUGAUGACAAUUCAAGCAAAACCACUUCAGCAGAGACCUACCUGUUUUGCAGAUAGAACACAGAGUGAGCAGGAGGACAGACCACUGGGUGUAGGAUACGCUGUUCUCUCCUCAGCCCCAAACCGUCUGGCCCGGAUCACAGAUGCUCGUGGACCACAGACCUCCGCAAAGAAAACCCUUGCACACAGGAGGCUGCCUUCUCUUACCUCGGACUCCCAGAGACUAAAAAUCCCCAGCGUGUACAGUGAUGAAGUUCUUAGGGGGACAAGACUGCAAACUGGCGUGGAGCGUAUGGGCUCCCCACCGACUCAAACCCCACGGAGCCGGCUGCCCCCAAUAGGCUCCGAGACUGGAGAGCACCACACGGCAGGUCCCGGAUCGCGCCCUGUUUCCCUCAGAGGAAGACAUCUACAAAACCAUGGGUUGAGUGCAUUACCUGAUAGUGUAGAACGGUCACCUCUUCGAGAAAGAUCUCUAACCGUGGAACAGUUUUCAAGGCCCAGCACUACCCAUACAUUUCGGUCAGAUACACCUCGAAAAGGUUCAUUGACACUGAUGGAAUUUGCUGGGCACGCGUGGACAGGUCAGAAUUUUUUAACAGGCUCACAGUAUCCACCUAAAUCUUUCCAGAGGACAACACUGACUUUAAGAAAGAGAUUCCAAGUGGCCUCCUGAUGUGACAUCAGCAGAACUACAACCCUUCUGGAGCAUUCAAAGCCUCAGCACACCAUUCAUCACUUGAAAAGUGGAAGAAGUAUUAUGUUAUGUAUCUGACAGUCUGAGAUGUUAGACUGCCUGAGAGAAAUGCAAACAAAUAAACAAUUUAAUUUUGAACACUUUGCAUUGUUAACAGACUAUGAGUCAAAAUUACCAACCUCCUCCUCUAUUGGAAGCAUUCCAAUACAGAUUCUUUUUUACUUAG
rnacentral:lncRNA from 1 species